rnacentral:rRNA from 1 species
CGCAGGUGGUUUUGUAAGACAGAUGUGAAACCCCCGGGCUUAACCUGGGAACUGCGUUUGGAACUGGAAAGCUAGAGUGUGUCAGAGGGGGGUGGAAUUCCGCGUGUAGCAGUGAAAUGCGUAGAUAUGCGGAGGAACACCGAUGGCGAAGGCAGCCCCCUGGGAUAACACUGACGCUCAUGCACGAAAGCGUGGGGAGCAAACAGGAUUAGAUACCAUGGUAGUCCACGCCCUAAACGAUGUCAACUGGCUGUUGGGAGAGAAAUCUUUCAGUAGCGAAGCUAACGCGUGAAGUUGACCGCCUGGGGAGUACGGCCGCAAGGUUAAAACUCAAAGGAAUUGACGGGGACCCGCACAAGCGGUGGAUGAUGUGGAUUAAUUCGAUGCAACGCGAAAAACCUUACCUACCCUUGACAUGUCCGGAAUCCUGCUGAGAGGUGGGAGUGCUCGAAAGAGAGCCGGAACACAGGUGCUGCAUGGCUGUCGUCAGCUCGUGUCGUGAGAUGUUGGGUUAAGUCCCGCAACGAGCGCAACCCUUGUCAUUAGUUGCCAUCAUUCAGUUGGGCACUCUAAUGAGACUGCCGGUGACAAACCGGAGGAAGGUGGGGAUGACGUCAAGUCCUCAUGGCCCUUAUGGGUAGGGCUUCACACGUCAUACAAUGGUCGGUACAGAGGGUUGCCAACCCGCGAGGGGGAGCUAAUCUCACAAAGCCGAUCGUAGUCCGGAUUGGAGUCUGCAACUCGACUCCAUGUAGUCGGAAUCGCUAGUAAUCGUGGAUCAGCAUG